CUGUGCGACUUUUUCACUCGCAGCGCUCAGCUUCAGCUCAAACUGUACGACUUCCUCGCAGGGCAGAUCUCACGAGUCGUGUGCUCACACUGUACGACCCAGUUCUCGCAUGCGACCUGACUGCUCACACUGUACGUCUGGUAGCAACACGUCGGCCCUAAAAAUGUGCUAAAAAUAGCAGUUUUUACUCAACACGUCAGACUUUUUUGUCUUGCCUGUUGUCCUUCGGGAGUGCUGCAGGAGGACACACAGGGAUUUAUGGGGGUUGGAUGAGGAAAACGACAUAAAGAAAGUGAAUCUGUCAGGGCCGGCUUUGUCGACAGGCAACACAGGCGGCCACCUGGGGCGCCAUCUGAUGGAUAGGGCGCAAAAUUUCAAAAAAAAAAAAAAAAAAAAGUUCAUUAAAUUCAUGUUUGUUAUAUGAAAAGCGCUCUCUACAUACUCAAAAUUCCCCUUUGAAAUGACAUGAAAUGAAAACAUCAAUAUUUAAAUUCUAAUGAUCUGGCUGCAUUUCGAGCUCCCGCUUGAGCCACCGCUCCAAAGCAUUUGACCGUUAAGGUUGCCAUAGUUACGUGUGUGGGUGGCACUGUAGAAGGACAUCCUGUUGUCGCGUUUAAACGUUUGAUAUUUUACAAGGAAAAGAACACCUAAGCCAUCGGGAUCAGCAUUCCGAAAGCGAAGGAAGGAAGAAGAAUAAAAACGGGCCCAAAGCAGAGUGUCUUCAUCCAGGCAUCACGCAGCAGCAGCACAUUUACUGAGCUACAGUCUCAGCAUCUAGAACCAGAAGAAGAACCCAACACCAGCAGACUCAGUGCUCCAAUCCAACAGCCUGAAGAGACACCAUCAUCAGCUUCAACAGAUGUGUGUGAACAUGUAUGAGCUGCUGGCCCCAUGGAUCCUGCUGACUGGCCACAGCAGUAGAACAAAAUGGAAAGUAGAACUUUCUUUAUG